AAUAAGGGAUAUGUCAUUCUAGUCCAUGUUAUAAACAAGAUUUUAAAAUUUAGCAACAAAUAUGGUUGCCCGUUGUAAUUUUUAUCAUAAAGAUAAGAGCUUGGUCUCUACUACUCUUUUUUCUAUUACUUUUUGUAAAUACAGGCAUAAAUGCUUUUAGGAAUGAAUUCAAAUCAUGAAAAAAUUACAAAUCCUUUUUCAUCAAAAGUGAAAAUCAAGAGAGAAUACUUCUAGAUAGAACUGUGCCUAUGAAUCCAACUU
rnacentral:lncRNA from 1 species